CUGUCGGCUUUGAGAGAGGAGGGAAGAGAGGAAGAAGUGGGUGGGGUUGGUGGAGAAGGCGGGGUCGUUGCACGCCAGGGCCGGAGGAUAAUGCACGGGGGCGGGCGCGCGCGCGCGCGUUCUCGUUCGGUGGAUGGUGGUCUCCUCUCCGCUUUUCAGCAAAAUGCGAGCGUCUGCCGGUGGGGUAGGGGAACUGUAUGCGUGUUGCAAACUACGGAACACGCCGAGACUGCAGCCAAGCGUUGGCUCUGUCUACAGUCUCUUGGGGUCGUGCGAAUCCUUUGCAACCCAAAUAUGUUCGAACUGUGGUUUCCAACGUUUAUGGAUAACGGUCCCUCCGAGUCUUGGACUUUAUUUACUCGGUGGAUUUAAAAUAUUUCUAAGGCUGUUUCGGAUUGCACCGGCAGACACAAGUGAGCGUGUUAUUGUGUAGCUCCAACAUAUGCACACCAGAUGGCAGCAGCUGAUUUUGAAAGAAAAAUGGGAGAUGACCAGGCUGAGCCCAAGGGAGGAGUCAAACAUGUCAUCAGUCACGAGUCCCUGCAUGCCUACAAGAUAUAUAAGUCCAGCCUAUCUCGAAUUCCUUUCUUAACUCCUGCUAAUUUCCUUUGACCAUUAGUAGUUCAUAUUCUUGCAGAGAACUUAAGCUUGCAAUAAAUCUUUAUACUCAUUUGAA